AGUGUUUCUGUUGUCAGUAGCAGUGACAGACUUUCAGGCUCAGUGUGAGGAUGGGGCUCACUGCGCUCAGUGUGCUGUGCUUAUUCUUGCUGAAUAUUACCCUCUGCUGUGGAGACGCUCAAGAUGCUGAGCUGAGCCUUAAACCAAAUGUGUCCCAUUUAUUUGCUGGAGAGUCUGUAACCUUCAUCUGUGACAUGAGAGAGGGAAAUGCCACUGACUGGCUUUACAAAUUCAACUGGAAUGAUCAAGAAAUGGUCCACUUCACUAAAAGUAGCUCCUACUUACUUUACCUGACAGCAGAGCUGAGUGGGAAUUAUCAAUGUAUUGGUCGCCGCAAUGGCUCAACA
ensembl:lncRNA